rnacentral:rRNA from 1 species
AAAUAGAACUUUGCAGAGAGAGUUAACAGGGCGUGAAACCGUUAAUUGGCAAACGAAUCGGAGCCACGAAGUCGUUUCGUUGUAGUUGGGCCUAGUUCAGCGUUGGGAGGUGGGGGCUUACACCCUCUCUCUGGGCGCGUACUCUAGGGCCCAGCCUACCUUGUAAGCGUACACUGCAACCGGUUAGACGAUUGGCGAUGGGCUUAGUUGGUGCUGGAGUUAGUAGCAACGGAACGGUGCCUCUUGUGGGCUUUUGUUCUGCUGCUUGGCUCUAACAGGUGAACUAUCGCCAAAGACUAACCGGCCAAAUGAAAAUCGCCCCUCCAUAGGCGUUUCCUUAGAAGGCGGCGCUUGCAUUGGCGUCUACACGCUUGACCGUGCGGUUUAAGCUCAUCAUUUUAGAAUUUGGACUCGCUGGCUACCAGUGGGGCAACUCCUGGUGCCAGUGCGGCUCCAUCUAAUCGGGUGCUGACUUGACUGUACGCUGUUCGAGUGUGCCCACGAUUGGGCGUCAAUGUAAUGCGACUCGCAAUCUUAUUGGCCCGUCUUGAAACACGGACCAAGGAGUCUAAUUAGACAUCAAGUCGAUCGGUCUUGAAUAGGCCAGACGGUGAUGGUGAUUGCAAUUGAAGGCGCAGAGACAUGUGAUCAUUUGAGCAAAACAGCCCAAGUGCGCAACAUGUGCCUGCUUGUAUGGCAUUCUUGUUAGCAAAACUUGCCGGGCGGAGCAGAGAGAUGUCUGAUUGGUACCCGAAAGAUGGUGAGCCUGGGCAAAUUGAAGCCAGAGGAAACUCUGGUGGAGGAUUGUAGCGAUUCUGACGUGCAAAUCGAUCGUCAGACCUGGGUAUAGGGGCGAAAGACUAAUCGAACCAUC